AUGACCACACUUAACAAACUAAAUUCUGACAAAUAUUAAGACACUAUCAUGUUGAAAAGACAUGAAUAAACAUCAAUCUCUUAUACUAAAGCAAAAUAAUGUUUGACUUUUUGACUUUGAUGUGGCAAUGCUCUUUGCCAGAGAAUUGUUUUUUUAGGCGCCAUUCUCCUUCUUCUUUCAUCAAUGUCUCUUUAGAUUAUAUAUGGAAGGUUGAAAACUUAAUCAAUUAUUGGAAUUUUUUUAGGAAAUUAUGAAACCGUUUCCAAUUCUACGGCCUAUAUACAAAUUCUUGCUUUUAAUCGGAUGAAACGACGACUGAAGAAGCCUGCUCUGUUUUAUCUUCAUCAUCAGACUUUGAAAUUCAAGCAUCGAAGUUUCAUUCUACCUCUAAGAAGAACGAUGGCGGCAUACCACUCUCUUCGGCUAUGAAAUUGACGAUUGAAAAAGGAUCCUUCAAUAUCUACCUCCGGUUUAUGUUAUUUUUGGCUAUUGAUGUUGAGAUCAAGCUUUUCUAUAUGCAAUGGAAGAGCAAUACAAGCCAUUGAAAGAAUUUGGUGUCGGGGAUUUUGUAGUAGCAAGCCUGGUUAUCGAUAAGAAGAUGAAAGAACUGUUUGCUAUCAAAUACAAUGAAUGAGGGAAACAUGUAUAAUCAUUAUUUUCUGAAUUGUGAGAAGAAAUAACCUUCAAUAGCGAUUUUGAAACCCAUCAAAUUUCUUUAUCAUUAUAUGUGGUCUACCUCACUUUCUAAAAGAAAUCAUUAUUUUUCUUUUUUAGUGAGUAAAUAUAUGUUAUAAUUUAGGGAUUAUGUCGAGUCUGAUUUCCUUGGAAUGACAAUUCUCCUGAAACUGUUUGUUAAUCUCGAGUGGCGAUUUGAAAUGUUUACUUAUGAAUAGAUCGAUAAAUGUUGUAUGUUAUUUCAAACGGGUCUAACAAAGUUAGUUUUUGUAAAUGUUUUAUAUAUGCUUUGUGUCUGAAUUUCAUAACUUUUGGGGCUUUUGUGAAUCUUAUAGUAGUAUCUGUGGAUUGACUUUGUUGUUAAUCCGUGUUAUCCUUUGCCGUUAAUUAUUCACACGAUUCUUACCAUGCGUCUAAAAAUUUGUCUGGAGUUCCUAACGGAUUUCUACAUUCUCCCGUUUACAUGGAUUUGGGAAGCCUGAUAUCUGGGAUGAACAUCAGGAUGGAAUAUGGAAACCACCAAAGAUACCAUAUCCGGCAUACAAAGGUGGCUGCUUUUAGGGGUGAGCAAACGGGGCGAAUCCGCUAGAACUGGAUCAAACUAACCCGGAACUGAGAACCGAAUGCGGUGUAUUUCAAGAACCUGAACCGAACCUUAUAAUACAUACACGGGUCAGGUUUUUAAACGGUUUCAAGUUUCGGUUCCAAUGGUUUUCACGGAACCUUCCAACAAUGAUUUGAGCUUCAUACAUACAACAGUUUUUCUGAGUUUUGUUUUUGGACCCAAACACUCUUGAAAAUCUGUAUUUUUUACUUCAUUUGUUGGAAGUUGUAAUAGGACGAUUUGUUGCUGCUGCUACUACAGCUGUUUCGGUCAAAGGAGUCUUGCCAGCUAUCUUAUUUUGGGUGUGAUCAUUCUGGAAACUCAUCAAGCAUAUGGAUUGCUGGUGCAUUUGCUCUCCAAGCUGCAGGUUUUCACCUUUUUAAAUCUUUUAUCAUCUGACCAAGUUAACCGGUGCAUCAGGAUUUAACUACUGAAACUAUUUUUGAAAGCUCUUAAUUUCUUAAAAGCAUACGUGCUUCAAGACCAAGAGGCACAUGCAACACAGAUGGAGUCAUAUUUUCAUGGAUAUCAAGCCAGAUGGUGUGUGAAGAGGUUGUGCCAAAAGGCCAUGUUUUGGUUCAAGGUGGCAUUUGUGAUGAAUUUCUCUCCACAUAUUUGUCUCCAUCAAUGGGAUGGUAAGCAUGACGUGUAAUAAAUUAGUUAUAGGAGAUAAUUUAUGGAUGUACCUCUGUUGUUUGAAGUUGUAAUAAUGAUUACUUAACUCUUAAACUGUAAUCAGAAGUAGAUAUGUUUAGUCCAAAUAUAUUUUUAGAAUA